AACUAUUAAAAAAGUAGGUGUAACAGUAUCAGAGCUUUUACAAUUUGGUAUAAAAUACUGUAUCAGAGCAAAAAUUAUUAAAAAGCUUAAAAAGAGCAAAGGAUUUUCAAAAGAUUUUAAGAACUACACUAUUUUUACACUUUAUCAUUAUAUCAUUAUUUCUCUCCAAAUGCAUUAUUUUCUCCAUUUACCUUUAUUUCUCCCCCUU
rnacentral:lncRNA from 1 species